rnacentral:misc_RNA from 1 species
GAAAUGCGAUAAGUAGUGUGAAUUGCAGAAUUCAGUGAAUCAUCGAAUCUUUGAACGCACAUUGCGCCCCUUGGUAUUCCAUGGGGCAUGCCUGUUCGAGCGUCAUUUGUACCUUCAAGCUCUGCUUGGUGUUGGGUGAUUGUCUAUCUUUGUAGACUCGCCUUAAAGUCAUUGGCAGCCGGCAUAUUGGCCUGGGAGCGCAGCACAAGUCGCGCUUCUUGUCAUGAAUGUUGGCGUCCAGUAAGUCUACAUAUUUUGCUCUUGACCUCGGAUCAGGUAGGGAUACCCGCUGAACUUAA